CUCUUCUUCUCUCCUGAUCACACACUGCCUGCAGCUAUGGAGAAGCAACUGGAGGAGCUGAAGCAGCAGCUGGAGAAGCAAUGUUUGAUCAACCAGGAGCUGCAGAGGCAAAACAAAGACCUGGAACAACGACUGCAGGAAAAAGAAAAACUUCUGCAAGAGCUGCACAGCCAGUAUCAUGAUCUGGAGUUUCCCUCUCAGAGCGGUAAUGAGAUUGAACCGGAGGUCAGGAAGAGCCGAGCUGCUGUCAUUGCCCCCGAACCAAUCCCUGAGACCCUGGAGAUUACACGCACCAGGGUCAAGAAGACUGUCAGCGAGACGAGUCUGAUUGUCAAAGCGAUCCAGAAGAACGAUUUCCUGAGCCGCCUGGACGACGAGCAGAUAGCCAUGAUGGUGGAUCUUCUAAUGGUUUCCAACUCCAAACCUGGAGACGAAAUCAUUAAAGAAGGUUCUGAAGGAGACACGAUGUACAUAGUGGCAGCUGGUGAACUCCUCGUCACGCAGGCCGGCCGAGACCUCCGAACUCUAACCAGUGGUGAUAUUUUCGGAGAGUUGGCCAUUUUGUACAACUGCAAACGGACCGCAACAGUCAAAGCAAAGACAGCGGUGCAUCUGUGGUUCAUGGAGCGACAAACCUACAGAACCAUCAUCACCAACAAGUCCAAGAAGAAACGAGAGCAACUCAUGGGCUUCCUGAAGACGUCUCGCACCCUGAAGGACCUGAAUGACGUCCAGUUGUCCAAAAUCAUUGACUCCAUGGAGGAGGUGAAAUACCAGGACAAAGACGUUAUAGUUCGAGAAGGAGCAGAAGCAAACACUUUCUACAUCAUCCUCAAAGGAGAGGUCCUGGUGACAAAGAACGUGAAUGGGCAUCAGAAGCAGAUCCGCAGGAUGGGAAAAGGGGAGCAUUUCGGGGAACAGGCCCUCAUACGGGAGGUCUUGAGAACUGCCACCUGUGCUGCUGAUGGCCCUGUCACCUGCUUCUCCAUCGACAAGGAGGUGUUUGAAGAGACAAUCCCCAUUGAGCACCUGGAGCUGUUUGAUGACUCUAAAGUGAUGCAGGAGGCUCAAGCUCCUGAAAAAUCAAGUCCCAUCUCCACCCUGAGGUUUAAGGAUCUGGUUCCUGUCUUAUAUCAAGAGGGUCGCUACCAAGGAGAUCCCGUCACACUUGGAGUUGGAGGAUUUGGUCGCGUGGAGCUGAUGACCACCAUGAAUCACGGGAAAUAUUACGCCAUGAAGAAAGUCAGCAAGAAGCACAUUGUCGCCAAAAGACAGGAGGAGCACAUGCUGUUUGAGAAGAAGAUCCUCAAAGCUAUUCAGUGCGACUUCAUUGUCAGACUUCACGGAGCUUUCAAAGACACGCGAUACAUCUACAUGGUCAUGGAGUUCUGUGGCGGCGGAGAGAUCUGGACCAAACUCAAAGAAGUUGGACGUUUUGACGAGAACAUCGUGGUGUUCUGCACUGCCUGUGUGGUGGAGGCCUACGCUUACCUACAUAAGAAGAGCAUCAUGUACAGAGACCUGAAGCCCGAGAACCUGAUGCUGGACGUGAAGGGUUACGUCAAACUGGUCGACUUUGGUUUUGCUAAGGAGUUGGUACGCGGUGAGAAAACCUACUCGUUUGUUGGCACUCCUGAGUACAUGGCGCCAGAGAUCAUCAAGAACCAGGGACAUGACUUUGCAGUCGAUUUUUGGUCUCUUGGCAUCCUGAUCUUUGAGCUGUUGGUGGGAAGCCCUCCCUUUUCCAGCUCAGAGCCCCAGAAGAUUUAUGCCAAAAUUCUGGACGGGGUGCUCAAGUAUCCACCUUACUUGAAUGAAGCAUCCAAGUCCAUAAUCAGUAAACUGUGCAGGCCUCGGCCGGGUCAGAGGUUAGGAAACACCAAGAACGGAAUCAAAGAUGUCCGGCAUCACAGGUGGUUCAGCAGCAUGAACUGGCACAAGCUGCGAGUGGGUCAGCUGGACGCCCCCACACUUCGGCUCAUCCGCAAGAUGUUCAGAGGGAGAUGAUGCCACAUCUGGUCCAGCUGAUGGAAGGUCUUGAAGUUCUCUGACUGGCCUCGACUGAAGAUGGUCGUCUCACUGGAUUUAAGGUUCAGAUGCUCAGUAACAAACUCCACCAAUGAGCCAACAGGGAAGCUUUAGAUUUAUUAAAUGUUGCUAUGAAGGUUUCGCUGUUUUUCUUUGUGAAUGCAAUGAGCUCCAACUGAAACUUGAAUUAGAACUUAGAAGUAAAUCCUUCCAUCUGACAGGAUUUAGUUGCAUUAAUAACCUCAUAACAUUCUAAUUUUUAUUCCAGUCUUGGUUGGAAAUAGAAUCUCUGUAUUGAUUCAGGUAAAAACUGAACUUCACAGCAUGUUGGAGCAAAACAACCAGAUGAAAACUGUGAUGGUGUUGGAUUGUCAGACCGUAAUGUUGCAGCUCAAAGCAGCUUUUCUAGCUCAGUUCAUUCUGACAUUCAGCUAUGAAUCAACACAGCAGAUGGUGAUCCAUGCUGUGGAAGUCUCACAUCUCCUGAUUUAAUGGAGCUGCUUUGCACUUUUUACACUGUUUAUUCACCAACACUUUAUUUAAUAAAAGUCCCAUCUAGUUUUUAUGAGGAAUGUGAUGUUUUAAUUUCUCUGUGAAUAACUGCAGUCUAAUGCAACAGCUGGAAUUGUAACAUCUGUCCUGAUAUUGAGCAUGAAGUAUUGAUCAGAAUACUUAUGGUCAGCAGUCAUCCCUGAAGUUUUACAUUAAAAUCUUUACUUGUCUUGUGAACUUUGGUAAGAAGCAGAAACUUUAGCGUUGCCAUGGAUACAUGAGUGUUAAAUUCUGUCCAUGUUUCCAUUUUGGGAAAUUCAGUCCAGCAGAUGAGUUUGUUUUUACUGCCAGAUACCAUUCAGUCUGAGAUAUUAACAAUAAAUAAAUGUGCAUAAUGUGGAAAUGAACAGAUUUUAUUUUUAUUUAUUCCUACAGCUUCUGCAUGGAAAGUUCCAGAAUGUGGAGGAAUUUAGUCUCACAAUCACAGACAAUAAAUAUUAUCUGAAAGUUAGGUUAUUGUUGUUUAUCAGCACAAUACAAAAAGAUUCAUGUUAGAAAUAUUCCAGUUAAGACUCUAGAAUAUCAGGAUUUAUGUAAAUUUACCUCAAUAAUAUGACUGUUCAGGGUAAGAUUGUGCAGUGAUAUUUAUUAUGUAAGUUUAGCUGAUUAAAAUUUAUGACUCUGCACUACAGUAUUAUUUAUUAUUUAAAUUGACAUCAUUAUUAUAAUAUUUAGGGGUCAGAAUCUACAGUAUUGAGAUUAAGAAAUCAAACAUUCUAUAAAAUGUAAAUACACUGAACUCAUUUGAAUAUAUUUAAGUGAGACUCUACAAUAUUAUUUGACACAAAUCUAUCUAAAUUUUAAUCAUUUUUACUCCAAACAUUUAGUGGACUGAUUUAAAUAUUAAAAUCACUCCUUUCUAAUCCUCUGCUGUACGUUCAAACCUGAGGCCUUAAAUAGAAACACACAAGUAUCUGAUUGAAGGAACUUCUGCAGAGUCCUGGUUCCAGAACAUGAUGAUAGAAUUAUAGACAAACUUUAACAAAAGCUGCCUGAGAGUUUACAGGUUUUUAUGUUGGAUUUCUUCAGUAAUUUAAUGAGUUAUCAGCAAUAAUCAAGUGUUCAUUUGAUGAACUUCAUUUCCUAAAACAUCCAGAAUUGGAGCUCAUAUCUUUGGCAGCUGUAAAGUUUCUGCUCCUUCAAAGUUCACAACACAAUGAAUGAAUUCCUGAAACACUCUCAAUGCUGGAGAGCGUGUGAUGCUGAAGCAGUGACCAGUUUUUCUGUUUCUUCUCUGGAGAUGCACAAUGAGGGACGUCUGCAGAGACUGAGAAAGAGUCUCACCACAUCCUGACAUGAGGAAAAAGACUUUAUUGAAGACUACAAUGAGAAAAACUAUCAGACAGCAGACGGCUGCAUUCAAGGCUACAGGAGGAGUCCUAUGAGGACGAGCCGGUCCACCUGAUGGUGGCCAGUCACUGCGGUUCAAAGCCAACACCGACUACGUGGACUUCUACUGGACCACAUGGAGGCCUUCAAACCGGACCAACAAGUUCAGUGACUCCCCGACUAGUGGGUCUGAGGACGCCGCCGAGCCUCAGCCCAGCCGGCCUCCUGUCUGUGGGUGUUUGAGUGCUGAGAGGUUUGUGGAUCCAUGUGAACGUUCUGUGUUGAAACAGCAGCUUUGGACUCAGUAACGCUGGGAAAAACCAAGAGCUCCUUUAUUUGUGACUUCCACUAAAGAAACUGAUGAAAAUAAGUUUGCCAGGGUUCUGACUGAUAAUUAAGAUUAUUAAAUAAUGAAAUUAAUCCUUUAAAUAUUCCUUUAAACUAUCCUUUUAGGUCUACAUUUCCUUUACACUGACUUCUUGGUAUAUGUACAAGUAUUUUGGGUGGAAUAUACCAAUAAGCCCAAUGUUCAAGGGUUCUUCUGGGAAUAUACCAUUAAACCAACCUUUUAGGUAAAUGUUCCAGGAUGUUGGGUAGAAUAUACCAUCAGAUCAACCUUUUAGGUCUACAUUGGAAGAUUUUAGAGUAGAAUAUUUCUCCAAACCAUCCUUUAGGUCUACAUUCAAGGUGGAAUACUCCUUUACACUAAGAUUUUUUGGUCUAUGUUGAAGGAUUUUAGGUGGAAUAUUCCUUUGAACGAACUUUUUAAGUUUAUGUUCAAGGAUGUUGGGUCGAAUAUACCAUCAGACCAACCUCAAGGUCUACAGCAGUGAAUUUUAGGUGGAAUCUACCAUUAAACUCACCUUUUAGGUCUACAUUGGAGGAUUUUAGGUGGAAUUUUCUCCCAAACCGUCUUUUAGUCUACAUUUAAGGAUGUUUAGGAUGGUAUAUUCUUCCAAACCAACUUCUCAGGUCUACAUUUCAGGUGGAAUAUUCCUCCAUACUAACUUUUUGUGCUCUGCAUUGAAGGAUUUUUUCUAAACCACCCUUUCGGGUCUAUAUUUGAGGUUUUAGGUGGAAUAUUCCCUUAAACCAACCUAAACUUCAUGUUUUGAUCAUUAUCAAGUGAGAAACCUCAAUCCAGACUCCUCAUAAUGACAUUUGAGAUUUAUGCUGCUGUUAUUUGUUUAGUCCAGACUAAAUGACAGAAAUCCACAACUGUAAUUUUAUUUCAGGACUCGGUUAUUAAAUGUCAAAACAAUCCAUGUGACUCUAAAAACUCAACAGCUUUACAAACUCUAAGAUUAAACUCUCCACAAGGAUCCAAAAUAAGUUGGACUUCUACUUUAAUUAUUCUUCAUCUACUUCCUGAAAAGUCUGGUCAAUAAAAAAGACAAAAACUAAUAUUUUCAGCUGAACUAAAGACAGACUUUGUGAUUUUUCUGCUCACAUGUUGUGUUGUUGUAAACUUCCUCUUUCAAAUAAAUAUCCUCCUAACCCCCUGGAAACCAGCGUUUGUCCUGUUUUUGUGUUGCUCCUCGGCGACCCUAGACAGCCGGGUCAUAAUGUUUUUUGAGCAACACACCAUACUAUGACGUUUUUACAAUGAUGGUUCUACUAUGGAACCAGUUUGACAUGUUCAGGCGUUCUUUGUGUAAAAACUCAGAGAUUUCAGGGAUCAGAAGGUGGUUUUCAACUUUCUUUGUUAACUUUCUGCUUCAACUUUAAACUAAAUUUCCUUGACUAAGCCAGCCCUUUGGACUUCCAGUAAGCUGUGUUCCUAUUGGCUGUCCAGGUGGCUGCUUGGUGUUAUCAGGAACACCUGAGCAGCUCCGUGUCUUCCUGCUUUAUUUAGCUGUAGACAAACAUUUCCUCUGCUUCACCUGAACUGGGUUUGGCUCUGUUGCUGUAGCUUGUUCUUUAGGCGUUGGCUUACAGCUUACAGCAGUAAAAUAGGCUUUAAUGUGUUUCUUGGUGUGUUUUAGGGCUUUGUACUGGAUAGUUGUCUUGGUAAAUGUGGUUCUUUAGCCACAGUUAGCACAUGGUACUAAUGUGUGCAGUGAUUAGUGGAUUUGGUGCAGCUGAGUUGUGUCUUUAUCUUGGCUGUAGUGAGUCUUUAGAGGUUUCUGGUCAGACACAUUCUGUAUUCUUGUUUGUGAACCAACAUUGGUUGUCCAGAAGGUAAGAGUUCCUGUCCUGAUUCUCUGUUCUCAGAGGUUCUCUGGUAGGCUGCAGGAGACUUUAGCAUUUGGGUUGUGCUAGUUUGGUUUUUGUACGGUUUCAUUUGGACGACUAUAUUGAGGCCCCUCCAUGUGGUUUAAUGAGGUUUUCUGGAACAGUUCUACAAAGCAACCUGCAGCAGAAGAGACUUUGAGAGUUUUUAGGAAGUUCUGGAGACCAGACUUUAGAGCAGCAGAAACAUUUGUCAGCAGUUUGAGCAGGAGAAGGUGAGCUUCAGAGUAGAAAUGAGACAGAAACCUUCUUGACCCGUGUGGUGAGGUCCUGUACCAAGAGUUUGAGCAGGUUGUGAAGAGUCUGUAGUUCUUUGGUCUGAAAGCACAAGAAGAGUCGACUCAUUAAAGGAGAAAACAGGAGAUAUUGUUGCUUCUUCUGUCGCUCUGCAGUUUCCAGUUUCCGUAGACUGAAUAUCGAGUUUAUAUUUUAAAUGAUUUCCCAUGUGAGCCCAAGAAGACUUCAAUAAACUCCCUCCAUCCCCUGGACACAAAAAAUUUUAUUACCAUGUUAAAUCUUUUUUUUAAAAAUAUGUUUGUGAGUUUCAAUCAUAGUUUUAGCAUAGUUUUUUUUCUCUUUGCUUGUUUAGUUUUGUCAUCUGUGUGAAAGGUGCUAAACAAAUAAAGUUGAAUUGAUAAACUGAAUAA